GGGAUUUAUAUCAGACCCCAUCUGCCUCUACGAGCUCCUCGCCAGUAGAGCGAGAGCUUCGACAUCGCCGUCGACAACGCCAGGGUCCUCCAACUCCCCUCCCUCUGCCACCUCGACGCGCUACCUGUGAGCUUGUGCUCAUAUAUAGGAAUUCCAAUUGCAAGUCUGAUGACGACUAUUCACCGACUCCCGAAAAUUCGACGAUGACCACCUCACCAACUUCCUCCGGCGGCAGUCGAGAAUCACCUAGAUCCACUCCAGCAUCAAACGCUUAGAAACACGACAGAGGACAUGGAGCUGCUGACGAGCUUGUCGGUGUCGCCGCUUUAUCGUUUUUAUCACUGUGACGGAGGAGAGGGAGCGUGGGCUGGAGGCAGGGGAGGAGGCGGCAGCAAGCAAAAGCAGAGCCACAUUUGUGGCUAUCCGGGCUAUAGCCCGGGGGCCCAAUGGAGGUAGAAAAAAUCUACGUGGGGAAAAGGAAAAAAAAGAUAAGGUUAGUCCGGGUCGACAUCGACGAAAAGAGGAAGUUAGCCCAGGUGAUGACGUUGACAUCGGCGAAAAGAGGAGGAUAGUCAUAGAUGAUGAUAUCGACAUCGAUGGAAAGAGGAGGCUAGUCCAGGAUGACACCGUCAGCAAUCGACACUCAAGGCCCACAAU